rnacentral:rRNA from 1 species
UUCGAGUGGCGGACGGGUGAGUAACGCGUGGGUAACCUGCCGUUACACAGGGGAUAACACCUGGAACAGGUGCUAAUACCGCAUAAGCGGCACAGGGCCGCAUGGCCCGGUGUGAAAAACUCCGGUGGUGUAAGAUGGACCCGCGUCUGAUUAGCUUGUUGGCGGGGUAGGAGGCCCACCAAGGCGACGAUCAGUAGCCGGCCUGAGAGGGUGGACGGCCACAUUGGGACUGAGACACGGCCCAAACUCCUACGGAAGGCAGCAG